GGGGCUGUGGCCUAGUCCGGCAUGGCGAUGGGCUCCAGCGGAUAAAUGAUGAACAACGGGUAUACUGAGUCUUUCCCGACGGGGCAGGACAAUGAGGAACCGUUGGAGCACUGAUAGAUGCUCACCAGAACUAAAACUGUUAAAGCAGUUGUUCGGAGAUACCCGUCGAUCGUGAGUUCGAAUCUCACCAGCCCCA
rnacentral:tRNA from 1 species